rnacentral:snRNA from 1 species
UUUUAGUAUGAUUACCUACAAGAUUAUAUAUAACUGUAUCAUGUCCACGAUAUAUAAACGAAAUGAUAUUAGAAUCCUUCAUUUUCAACUUGUUUGAAAUUACGUUUAAUGCCAUUGUAUGAAUACACAACAUUAUACAGUUUCACUUGGGCAUCAUGUGCACUUGAGAAGGGCAUUCUUACAUCAUCUAAUUUUUUGAUUUCGUGUCGAAAUGCUUUCUCGGCUUUUUGUCUUUCUGCAAGCGACAUACUUAGCCAUUCUUCUUUGCUAAAUAAAUCCUCGAAUCUAAAAUCAAAUGCAGUUCUUUUACUUUCUGCUCUCAGUGCUAACACACGCUCAUGAUAUGUCACAAUAACUCCCCCAUUUCUAACAGCCUUGCCAUUGUUUACUAAUACUUAUAACUUUAGUACUAACUUUCGACUUUUACAAUAAAGAAUUGACAAUUUUUCAACAUUUUUAAAAAUAAAAAAUAUGAACAACGAUUAUUUGUAUAUUUUGAAUAACUUAAAAAUGUACUUU